rnacentral:rRNA from 1 species
GGGUUGUGAGGUUAAGCGACUAAGCGUACACGGUGGAUGCCCUGGCAGUCAGAGGCGAUGAAGGGCGUGCUAAUCUGCGAUAAGCGCCGGUAAGGUGAUAUGAACCGUUAUAACCGGCGAUACCCGAAUGGGGAAACCCAGUGUGAUUCGUCACACUAUCAUUAACUGAAUCCAUAGGUUAAUGAGGCGAACCGGGGGAACUGAAACAUCUAAGUACCCCGAGGAAAAGAAAUCAACCGAGAUUCCCCCAGUAGCGGCGAGCGAACGGGGAGGAGCCCAGAGCCUGAAUCAGCAUGUGUGUUAGUGGAAGCGUCUGGAAAGGCGCGCGAUACAGGGUGACAGCCCCGUACACAAAAGCGCAUGUGCUGUGAGCUCGAUGAGUAGGGCGGGACACGUGGUAUCCUGUCUGAAUAUGGGGGGACCAUCCUCCAAGGCUAAAUACUCCUGACUGACCGAUAGUGAACCAGUACCGUGAGGGAAAGGCGAAAAGAACCCCGGCGAGGGGAGUGAAAAAGAACCUGAAACCGUGUACGUACAAGCAGUGGGAGCACAGGUUUACCUGUGUGACUGCGUACCUUUUGUAUAAUGGGUCAGCGACUUAUAUUCUGUAGCAAGGUUAACCGAAUAGGGGAGCCGGAGGGAAACCGAGUCUUAAUUGGGCGUUAAGUUGCAGGGUAUAGACCCGAAACCCGGUGAUCUAGCCAUGGGCAGGUUGAAGGUUGGGUAACACUAACUGGAGGACCGAACCGACUAAUGUUGAAAAAUUAGCGGAUGACCUGUGGCUGGGGGUGAAAGGCCAAUCAAACCGGGAGAUAGCUGGUUCUCCCCGAAAGCUAUUUAGGUAGCGCCUCGUGAACUCAUCUCCGGGGGUAGAGCACUGUUUCGGCUAGGGGGCCAUCCCGGCUUACCAACCCGAUGCAAACUGCGAAUACCGGAGAAUGUUAUCACGGGAGACACACGGCGGGUGCUAACGUCCGUCGUGAAGAGGGAAACAACCCAGACCGCCAGCUAAGGUCCCAAAGUCAUGGUUAAGUGGGAAACGAUGUGGGAAGGCCCAGACAGCCAGGAUGUUGGCUUAGAAGCAGCCAUCAUUUAAAGAAAGCGUAAUAGCUCACUGGUCGAGUCGGCCUGCGCGGAAGAUGUAACGGGGCUAAACCAU